rnacentral:lncRNA from 1 species
ACCACAUAAUUCCUAUCAAAAAUACCGCAAAGUAUUCCUAUCAAAAAAAAUGUUUAUAUUGAAUCUAAACUUCAAUUUACAAAGGAAUGAAAUAAAUCCAGAAUGUGUCAUUCUGUGAAGACAACCAGCCUGGUCUCCAAAAAGUCAAAAUUCUGGGUUAAAGGAGAUCAAAGAGAUAACCAGUAACAGUUCUUGAAUUCUGAUUGGGUCUGUUUUAAAAGGUCAUGGAAAAACUGCAGGACUCAGGUAAUGGACAGAAUAUGGUAGAAUUGCAGUUACAUCAAAGAAGUGUUAGGAGAUGCUUGCUAAAGUAGGGGUGACAUGUCUUGAUGUCUGCAACUUAUUUUCAAAUGGUUCAAUUUUAUAUUCACAGUCACACAAAGAGCAGGCAGCAGAACAUUCACAAUAUUUAGAUCUGGGUAGAGAGCCUGUGGGAAUUUGUUUUUUCCCCAAACUUUUCUGUAUUUUGAAGUUUUUUUACAAAAUUGAGAGGAACUCUUUAAGAUUUUCCAUUUAAAUCAUCCUGUAAAGUGCUUUGUCCUGGCAGGAAUAAAUGUGGAUGUUGUAGGCAAGUUUUCUCAGAACAUGGUUUCUGAACAUUAUGUAUCAGAAUCACAAAAAGAAAAUAUAUGAACUACCAGGGAGCACAUUAAAAAAAAAAAUGUUCAACAUCAGUCAUCAUGAAAAUGUAAAUUUAAGACUACAAUGAGAAGGGCUGGGGACGUGGCUCAGUGGUAGAGUGCUUCCCUAGUAGUAGAUGUGCAAGGCCCUGGGUUCAGUCCAGCACCACACAAAAAAUCCUACAGUGAGAUACCACUGCACAUCCACUGGAAUGGCCCAAAGUAGAUUGACAGCAUUGAGUGUUGAUGAAGAUGUGGAGCAACUGGACUCCUGUUUUGCUGAGGGGAUUGAGAAAUGGUUCAGCUACUUCAGAAAGUAUGUAGUAUACUGCCCAGAAAUCUUAUUCCCAGGUGCCCAAGGAACAUGAAAACCUCUGUUCACACAAAGGCUUAUAUUUGAAUGUUCAAAGUAAUUGUAUUCACAAUAGCCCAAAACAGGAAAUAACCAAAACAUCCAACAAUUAGAGUAGAUAAACAAAUUGUCUUAUCCUUAUGAAGGGGAAGGCAUUGAUACCACAGCAACAUGAGUAGAUCUUUAAAACAUGCUGAACUGACGAAGCCAAACACCAAAGACUGCUUAUUGUACGAUUCUAUUCAUGUGAAAUUCUAGACAGGCAAAGCUAGUUUAUAGAGACAGAAAGCCGAUUUGCCUGGGGCUGAAGGUCAGUGAGGCCCAAGAAUUGACUGCUAUAGGACUUAGAAAACUUCUUAGGGCAUUAGAGAUCUUCCGUAUCUUUUUUUUUUAAAGAGAGAGAGAGAGAGAAUUUCAAUAUUUAUUUUUUAGUUAUCGGUGGGCACAACAUCUUUGUUUGUAUGUGGUGCUGAGGAUCGAACCCGGGCCGCAUGCAUGCCAGGCGAGCACGCUACCGCUUGAGCCACAUCCCCAGCCCGAUCUUCCAUAUCUUGCUGGGCGCAGUGGCGCACACCUGUAGUAC